UUCUCCAGUUCGAAGAUGUCGCUUCGGACAGCGUCCAACAGUGUCGGUGUUUCCAGUCGAUGGCCGCCUCGUUUCGAGCGAGGCGAGGCGAUCGGUAGAAACUAGAAACCAUUUCAGCGUCGAAACAGAUUAAAUAUUCGCAUUGACGACACGGAAUCGGAUGUACUAUGUCGAAUAGUAUAGGAUUAUCAUACAAUUGCUUAUGCAACGACGCGAAUCUUCGUCGAGGGCAUCGACCCAACACAUGCACCGACGUCGUCGUACCAUGAGAAAAUCAGUAUCGCGGCAUAUCAACACAACUGGUCAAUGUCAGCCUGACUGAUAUAUAGCGCAUGGAGACGGCGACUCGCAAAUGAGCAACUGACAGGUAAGUAAAGAUGUUUCAACAUGC